rnacentral:rRNA from 1 species
GAUACCUAGUGUGAAUUGCAGAAUUCCGUGAAUCAUCGAGUUUUUGAACGCAAGUUGCGCCCAAGGGCUUGUUCCGAGGGCAUGCCUGCCUGAGCGUCCCC